UUCCUGAAAGAGUUCAAGGGAAACCCGAGUUUAGCUACUUCAUGACAUCUGGUGGUUCAAGUGUUUCACCUGAACAAAAUCCAACGCCAGUGGCCAUUCCUGCCCCUUCUCAUCGUCUUCCUCCUACUCCUCCGUCUUUUCCACAAGAAACUUACCCAGACUUGCUUCAUUAUGCACAAAUUCUUUCCAGCAACGAUGCAAAUUUCCCU
rnacentral:misc_RNA from 1 species